rnacentral:lncRNA from 1 species
AAUUAUAUACCAUAUAUAAAAUAUUUUGUGAUGUAUUUAGAACAUCCCAAAAAUAAAUAUUACAUUGGACUUAAAAAUCUCAUUUAACUCCUAAGGGUCCUAUCCCAAACCGAAGGUACAGUGCAUCAAUCACACUGUCCCAUUGUUUUUCCAACGAUAAGUACAGCAUAAUUUUUAUUCAAAAUGAUACAGUCACGUCGUAAUUCAAGCACCAUACGUUCCACAGGGACACCAAAUAUACCAAACGAAAAUUGCGUAAACGAAAAUUCACGUAUGAUAGUCUUUGAAAUGAUAAACACCAGGAGGAUUACUUUCCAUGAAAAGGAGGUGUUUCUUUUUUUUUGGUUUAUGUGGUCCUUUCUCCUCUUCCAAAAUGGAGAAACUAUGAAAAACGUGUAGAACUCGAUUUCGCCCAUCCAUUUUCACUUUCUAUUAAAGGAAAAAUCUUUUAUUAGGUAAUUAAAAGUAGGAAAAAGAUUGUUUGGAAUAACCAACUAUUGAAUUAAUUUCUCUUACAUGCCCUUUUUCUUUGGUCCCUUUUUUUUUUUUUUUUGUCGUCUCUUGAGACCAAAAUAACUUUAUAAGGAGCUUCAUUGUUUAUCAAAAUGCUCACAACAUCAGAAAGAGAGAAGAGCAAAAAUGGAGAAGGAAACUAUUGCAACUGAGGCACCCAAAGCUCCGGUGACUAGUGAAAGGAAGAUUAGAGAUAACCUGGAAGAAAAAUUACCAAAACCCUGUAAAUUUAAAUCCCUAUUUCUUUCUUGUUCCUUUUGAUUUCAAUUGUCAUUGGUUGCCAUUUUUUUUCGUAGAAGGCCAGAAGAGACGACACAACUCGUGUUUAUCCAUAUUUUUAUAUCUGGUGAUAAAGCAUUAGUUUAGUAAUUAAAAACCAAAUAUAUCCUCAAUCCUUUUAACUUCUUUAUCACAUAUACAACAAAAUCUAACGUGUCAGGGUUUUUUUGUUGUUUUUUUUUUCUUCUCCUAUGACUAAUUACCAAAAAUAUGGAAUUAGAUUUGGCUAGAGCACUGGAAGCUCCUGAUGUGGAACAUCCAAAUGGAACAGCAGGACAUAAGAAUAAUGGAAUGAGUGUUCUUCAGCAACAUGUUUCUUUUUUUGACCAAGACAACAAUGGAAUUGUUUAUCCCUGGGAGACUUACAGAGGUAAAAUACUAAAAUUUUCCAAAUUUCAGAUUAAUAUGAUUUUUUUCUCUUUUAGACAAAUUUUAUAUUCACCAUGUGAAAACCAGGUUUGAGAGAUAUUGGCAUCAAUCCAAUUUCCUCUUCUAUUAUUGCAAUUCUCAUCAAUUUAGCAUUGAGUUAUGUCACUCUCCCUGUAAGUUUUUGUGAUAACUUGUAUUCUCUUUUGUAAAGUUCUCCUGUAAAUAUAUAUACGCACCCCACCAAAUAGCUGAUGUUGCAUUGGACAAUUUUCACAGGGAUGGCUGCCAAAUCUAUUAUUUCCCGUAUAUAUAGACAGGAUACACAAAGCUAAACAUGGUAGUGAUUCAGCAACAUUUGACACUGAGGGAAGGUU